GCUUUGGAGGCUGAAGCUGGGACACUGCUGAGCUCUGAGCUAGAGGGAGACCUUGUCUAUUAAACAACAACAACAACAACAAAACCCACCAAGCCAAAAUGCAAAUUCAGCAAUUCAGCCAUGUCUGGAACACUUAGGAGGCCUGCAACGAGAGAACUUAACUUCCGACUCCUUUCUUGGGCCCACAAGUUAAAAACUCAGGCAUCUCUGCCUUCACUUUUGCAUGUCUCCUUUGCCUCGGAGCCAUCCUUUCCUGCAUUCACCAGGGAUCCUGGUGAGACCGAACUGACCGACUGUAUCAGGGGCUAGCCUGACUCGCCUGACCAAUCCGAGAUCAACCUCAACACCUUUUCCUGUGUGUAAUACCCUGUUUGUAUAACCAGCAACACAACAUGACUAGCAUUGGGGAAAGAAAGAGCAGCCUUCGCAGGGCCGUGACUGAAAGGUAAGAAUGCAUGACCCAGAGAGGCUGCGCAAGCCAAAGCCCCAAAUGCCUUCUUUACAUGCAUGAAUGGGACACAAAUACCACCACAUUCCAAUUCUCCAGUGCUUACAGAAAAACAUAAAAUUAAAUAGCCACAUGCACACACAUACAUACACAAAGAAAACUAGGGAACGCAGAUGGAGAGAGUCAAACUGCACUGGACUACCUAGCCCUGGCAUUCGUGCUUACAUACCUUGUUACCUUCCCUCCCAUCUCCCAGAAUCUCUACUGCACAAUGACUGGUGCUAAAACCCCACAGCUGCCCCUGGGGCUGCUAGGAGAAACCCAGACUUCUGGAAGACUUAGGAAACCACCCAAUGGGUGGCCUCUUCCUAAAACAGAAGGUAUCUGGACUCACAAAGGCACAUUCAGAAGUACUACACUUAAGUGAUUCUCGGAAAAAAUUAAAAGGGAUGGGUGAGUGGUGUUUUAAACACAUUUAGUGUAUUUUCCCUGGAAAUUUCUGGCAAGGAGCUUCACGCUGGAAUGCAUCACUUGGUGAGAAACCACACUACCUUUACAAGGUAAGUUGCAUUUGAAGGGCUCCCAAAGGUUUUGUUUUGCAUAAAUACCCCCUUGUCAUUUUUGGCAUGCACACACCCAGCACAGAUUGGCCCCCCUGGCUGUCAGGCCAGUGCUCACAGGGAGGCAGCUCCCUCUGCCUCUGGUGGACUCUCUAAUGCACACUCUGCCAGGAAGUCAGGGAGGAGGAAACAGCAACAGCAGGAAGGAGGGACUUCUUUUUGAAGAAACCAUCCCAACUAUUGACACUGGCUAGAAAAGAGCUAACGGUAAUUGGAAGUUUAUUUCCAAAGCAAUGACUCAUAAUUCAAAAACUAAGUUGAGGCACAUAGUGCAUUAGGAAACACUAUUUCUUCUUUCUUAUAUUAGAACACACUGGCCUAGGAAGUAUAUCUGACUCCUCUCCCAUGAAAAGGUACGAGCCGAUGGCAGCUUUGCAGACACCUGCUGGUCAAGGCAGCACUCUUCCCCAAAGUUUCUUGUGG